AGCAGGGAUGGGGGCGAGAAGGGUCUGGUCCGGGAUGGCAACCCUGGCCUUCUUCACGUGGCUCCUGCUCCUGGACUAGGCGGGCUUGCUGUCCCCUCUGUGCAGAUGGAGAAACUGAGUCCUGAAUGGGGGAAGGGACUUUGCCAAGGCCCCAUACCUCGUGGAGCACUUCCCAGCCUACCGGCUGCCUCUUGAUCUUUAACCGCUAGAGUCCUAUCCCUGCCCCCCAACAAAUAGAUAAGGAGCUCCCAGCAAGAAAAGGUGGGGACCCUGACAGAAUGUGGCCGUUUCUCCUUCCCGUCCGCCCUCUUGCCAAGCCCACAGCUUCUGUUCCUGGCUCCCCGCCGCCAAGAUGGUGACAGCUUUCCCAGGUCUGGUGGGAUGAGCAAAUUGGACAAAGUGUGGUUUCCUGGCCCUGGCCCGGCAUCUUCCCUCCACUAAUAAACCUGUGGCUAACC